rnacentral:rRNA from 1 species
CACACGAGUUUGAUCAUGGCUCAGAUUGAACGCUGGCGGCAUGCCUUACACAUGCAAGUCGAACGGCAGCACGGGAGCAAUCCUGGUGGCGAGUGGCGAACGGGUGAGUAAUAUAUCGGAACGUGCCCGGUCGUGGGGGAUAACGUAGCGAAAGCUACGCUAAUACCGCAUACGAUCUACGGAUGAAAGCGGGGAUCGCAAGACCUCGCGCGAUUGGAGCGGCCGAUAUCAGAUUAGGUAGUUGGUGAGGUAAAGGCUCACCAAGCCGACGAUCUGUAGCUGGUCUGAGAGGACGACCAGCCACACUGGGACUGAGACACGGCCCAGACUCCUACGGGAGGCAGCAGUGGGGAAUUUUGGACAAUGGGCGAAAGCCUGAUCCAGCAAUGCCGCGUGAGUGAUGAAGGCCUUAGGGUUGUAAAGCUCUUUUGCCCGGGAUGAUAAUGACAGUACCGGGAGAAUAAGCUCCGGCUAACUACGUG